CUGAGGAGGAGUCACUUAUUCUGCCUGAGGGGAAGUCAGGUUGCUAUCUGAAGUUGGCCUUGCGGCUGCUGUCCCAUUUGCGGGAGCCGUAGCCGCAGGUGACACCUGAGCUCUCGAAAUGUGGCUGGUCUGAAUAGAGAUGUGUUCCAAGAUUUAGAAGAUUUAAUUUAAAAAGUGAUAUUUUGGGUAUAUUGGGUUAAAUAUAUUAAAAUUAAUUUCACCUGGUUUUAACUUUUUAAAUGUGGCUAUAAAUAUGGCUUGCAUUAUAUUUCUAUUGGAUAGUGCUACCUUGCAGCAUUAAGAUGGAUUUGACUAGAAAAGAUGAGAAGGGCCUACAAACAACAGGGUCUCACCAUGUUGCCCAGGCUGGAGUGCAGUGGCACAAUCACAGCUCACUGCAGCCUCGACCUCCUGGGCUUGAGCGAUCUUGCUGCCUCAGCCUCCUGAGUAACUGGGACUACAUGAGUAGCUGGGACUACAGAGACCAUUCACUUACUAUAUUCAGAACACCAAGAGAUACGUAAAGACUGCGGUUGAUUGGUGAGCUUUGCUGGACUCAGGUGGAGAAGGCUUUGCCUUGGCCCCCAGAAGAGCAGAUGCUCCAGUCAAUUCUGGAGUAGGAAGAAAAGAUUUGGAAUACUUUAUGACUCCCUGUGAUAUGGUUUAGAUGUUUUGUCUCCUCCAAAUCUCAUGUUGAAAUGUGACCUCCAGUGCUGGAAGUGGGCCUAGAGGGAGUUGUUUGGGUCAUGGGGGCAGAUUCCUUAUGAAUAUCUUGGUGCUGUCCUAGUGGUAAUGAUUGAGUUCUCAUUCUACGAGUUCACAUAAGAUCUUGUUGUUUAAAAGAGCCUGGCACCUCCUUUCUUUCUCUCUUGCUCACUCUCACAAUGUGACACACUGGAUCCCCUUGACUUUCCACCAUCAUUGUAAGGCUUCUGAGGCCCUCCUAGAAGCAGAUACCUGCACCAUGCUUCAUGUACAGCCUGCAGAACUGUGAGACAAAUAAACUUGUUUUCUUCUAAAUUAC
rnacentral:lncRNA from 10 species